rnacentral:rRNA from 1 species
GAUGAACGCUAGCUACAGGCUUAACACAUGCAAGUCGAGGGGCAGCGCAGUGUAGCAAUACAUGGGCGGCGACCGGCGCACGGGUGCGUAACGCGUAUCCAACCUUCCCGUUACUCAGGGAUAGCCUUCCGAAAGGGAGAUUAAUACCUGAUGGUGUUCAAAUUCCGCAUGGUGUUGCAACCAAAGAAUUUCGGUAUGGGAUGGGGAUGCGUUCCAUUAGCUUGUUGGCGGGGUAACGGCCCACCAAGGCGACGAUGGAUAGGGGUUCUGAGAGGAAGGUCCCCCACACUGGAACUGAGACACGGUCCAGACUCCUACGGGAGGCAGCAGUGAGGAAUAUUGGUCAAUGGGCGAGAGCCUGAACCAGCCAAGUAGCGUGAAGGAUGACUGCCCUACGGGUUGUAAAACUUCUUUUGUUUGGGAAUAAAGUUCAGCACGUGUGCUGUUUUGUAUGUACCAUUCGAAUAAGCAUCGGCUAAUUCCGUG